AUGUAGAUGGAUGAUUGCGUGAUAUUGCAUAAUAUUAGGACUGUCCAUGGGAAAGUUAAGGAUAGCUUCAAAGGAUGGAUUAAGCGGAUUUUAUUGGGUAUAACGAGCCAUCCUGUGAAGACUUGGUACAAGAGAAGGUCUUCAGUCAAGUUUUAAACGUCAUAAAGGUUGGGUUGUCUAAUAUACGGUUUUCCUUUACUUUUGUGGAAGAGGGAGGCAUGCAAAUAUAUUUUGGUGGUCUUCUGACUUUCUUCUAAGAGAUUAAGGAGGUAAAAAAGAAUGAUCUUGUAGUUAUGAUGAUAACUUUUAGUUAUCUUGUGAUGGACUCCCAAGACUAAUUUGGAAUAAAGAAACUUGGGAGAAGAUCUUAGAAGACUAGGGUUCUCUUAUAAUGGAACUCCUGGAAUUUGUGGUGGAAGGAACUUGUGCCACACAAGAAUCUGUGUAUAUUGAUAUUUUGGAGACUUUGACGGUCAUUUUGGAGGGGAGACGUUAUUGGGUGAAGAUUAGGGAGGCUAAAUCUUGUUUUCCUGUAGACGAAAAUUAUCAAAAGGGAAACACAUAGGAUGAAGGCGAAUGAGCACCCUGAAGCUUUUGUAUCCUCUGAUGGAACAUCUCUACGUGGAGUGAUUUUUCAAUCUCGUCAAUAUCUAUUAUAUAUAAUGCUGCAACAUGGGGUUUCGUGACAGUUUCUGUGAGCCAUUUUAUUCAGCCCGUUACAUCUUCAUUAAACCCCGUUAUCUUUUUACCUUCUUCAAACUCCUGGGCUUCCCCGCAUACUUCUCUCGUUCUUUUAUAUCUUUGUGGCUCCUCCACUCCAGACUGGAGUUCUCUAGACAAAUUGUCGUUAAGAUCAUCAGUAUCUUGAUUUACAACCUUUUAAUAGUUCUAUUCCAUAGCUCAUGCGUGGAAGGCUCCAUCGUCUGAUCCGGAUUUGGAGAAAAAAGAGGACACCAAAUGAACAAUUAUAGAUGUUUUUGCAGUGUUGCUCUUCUGUAACAGACUUUCAGAUUCAUAUGGGCUCUUAAAUAAACCGAAUUUGAAGGCUGAAUCCAAUCAAUCAGUUGUUUCUUCAGUUAUUCCAAGCCAACAACAUAUGUUUCAAGGUGGAGCCGAGAGUCCCCUAAAUGCUUUCAAGAUAUUUUCUUCUGAUGUGUGUUUUUAAAAUUUUUGUAAGAAAUCACUAAGAUGCCAAAUCACAAGAAUUGUGUAAUUCUAACUAUCGCCAAUAUCUUUCACCUGUUUUUCUGUUUAAUGUAUUAUUGGCUUCUCUGAAAUACACAUUAUGUGUCUUGAUAUAGUCAUGGUUUAUAUCGUUGGAUGCAGCGGAUAAACGUGUCUCAGUGGAGUUUGUUUUGCUUGAGCAAAAAUCAAGUCAUCUCAGUGAUCUACCUGAAACUAUCAACAAAUUUGAUAAGCAAAUCAGUGAACUUGAGAACUACUCAUUCCGAGCAUUUUUUUACAAGUUUGGCACUUUGUAUUUGGAUUUUAGUUAUUUGACAUGAUUCGGGAACCUACUAUUGGUCAGAAGAUGGAAAUGUAUUUCGCAUUCUGGUCAAACAAUGCCUGCAAGACUUGAAGGAUGACAUGGAGGAACAACUACAAUCUCAAUUCAUUUUUUCCAAGAGAGAUCUUAUAGGCUCUCUGAAGUAGAUAUAUUGCAGCCUGUGCUCAUCCUACAGUCCCAUGCUUGAUAGAUUCACACCCUGUCAGGAAGGGAGACACCUUCAGUUGCUGGAAUUAUAAAUCCUGCUGCUGAGGAGAGACACCUUCAGUUGCUGGAAUUAUAAAUCCUGGUGCUGAGGGAUUUCAGUAACUAUUUUUUGGCCAGGAAGAAACUAUUGUACCAGUACAUUGAACGUACGUUCUCCGCUAAGAACAUCAUUCGUUCUUCGAUAAUAUUCCUUCGUAGGCACCAUCAUCAGGAACUGGUUUCCAUUUGUAUAGAUUGACAAUGUUUUACAGAUUUUUUUUUUUUGUCAGAUAAUGGAUUUUAACAUUGUGGUGAAUGACAACUAGCAACCUAAAAUUCUAUCGUGGUCCUUUCAAGA